rnacentral:rRNA from 1 species
UACGUAGGGUGCGAGCGUUGUCCGGAAUUAUUGGGCGUAAAGAGUUCGUAGGCGGUUUGUCGCGUCGACUGUGAAAACCCGAGGCUUAACCUCGGGCCUGCAGUCGAUACGGGCAGACUAGAGUUCGGUAGGGGAGACUGGAAUUCCUGGUGUAGCGGUGAAAUGCGCAGAUAUCAGGAGGAACACCGGUGGCGAAGGCGGGUCUCUGGGCCGAUACUGACGCUGAGGAGCGAAAGCGUGGGGAGCGAACAGG